CCUGCAACAUGCUGCUGUUGCUGGGAGUGGGAAAGAGGUGGCAUCGGCGGUUCAAGACUGAGUUUUCUAUCUCUUCAGUGCCUCUUUCAACAAUGAAGAUCAAACCAGGUACUGAGGUAGUGGGAGUGCUCAUCUAGUUUUUGGCUUUUAGUUUUGUGCAAAUAUCUGCUGAGUGAACUACUUAUUUGAAAAUACAUCAUUGGUUAAUAUUCCCUUUUGCUCAUUGAAAUCUCAAAGACUACAGACCCCGCACAAGACAUUCUGACAUUCCCGUCUUUGAAAUGAAUGACAGCAAUGAUAAAUAUGGCUCACCUCCAGAGAUACAGAUCUCACAACUUCAUAUUUUUAAUAUAAAUUAUUAAUCUGAGGUGUGGUGCAAUUCCAUUAGAUGAAAGAGAUCUACACAUUCAGAAGCACAUGAUUCUUCCCCCUUCCAUGAUUCCAGUGGCCAAUAGGUAAUCAGAACUUCUCUGUUCAGCUAAAAGACAGAAAAAGAGCAUAUGAAAGACGUAUUUUCCCAGAAGUGCUCAUCCUGAUAACUGUGUACAGCACUACUGCUCAUAUUCCAUUGGCCAAUAUUUAGGUAGAUAACUUCACUAACUACAAGGUAUGCUGGGAAAUAAAGUCCAGAUAUGUGU
rnacentral:lncRNA from 1 species